AGCGAACGCUGGCGGCAGGCUUAACACAUGCAAGUCGAGCGGGCACUUUCGGGUGUCCGCGGCGGACGGGUGCGUAACGCGGGGGGACGUGCCCUCUGGUUCGGAAUAACUCAGGGAAACUUGAGCUAAUACCGGAUACGCCCUUUUGGGGAAAGGCUUGCUGCCGGAGGGUCGGGCCGCGUUUGCUUAGCUGGUUGGUGAGGUAACGGCGCACCAAGGCGACGAUGCGUAGCUGGGCAGAGAGGAUGGUCCGCCACACCGGGGCGGGGACACAGCGGAGACUCCUACGGGAGGCAGCAGUGGGGAAUAUUGGAAAAUGGGCGCAAGCCUGAUCCAGCCAUGCCGGGUAAGUGAUGAAGGCCUUAGGGUAGUAAAGCUCUUUUAUCCGGGACGAUAAUGACGGUACCGGAAGAAUAAGCCCCGGCUAACUUCGUG
rnacentral:rRNA from 1 species